CCCUUAGAUGUUCUGGGCCGCACGCGCGCUACACUGACGAUGGCGACGAGUUUUUCCUUCGCCGAAAGGUGUGGGUAAUCUUUUGAAACAUCGUCGUGCUGGGGAUAGAUCAUUGCAAUUUUUGAUCUUGAACGAGGAAUUCCUAGUAAGCGCGAGUCAUCAGCUCGCGUUGAUUACGUCCCUGCCCUUUGUACACACCGCCCGUCGCUACUACCGAUUGAAUGGUUUAGUGAGGACUCCUGAUUGGCGCCGCCGCCCCGGCAACGGAGCAGCGGACUGCCGAAAAGUUGUUCAAACUUGAUCAUUUAGAGGAAGUAAAAGUCGUAACA
rnacentral:rRNA from 1 species